rnacentral:rRNA from 1 species
AUGCAAGUCGUGCGAGAAAGGGGACUUCGGUCCCUGAGUAGAGCGGCGCACGGGUGAGUAACGCGUGGGUGAUCUACCCGGAAGUCUGGGAUAACGGCGGGAAACUGCCGCUAAUACCGGUUACGCUUCCAAUUCAGAAUUGGAGGGAAAGACGGCCUCUGCUUGCAAGCUGUCGCUUUCGGAUGAGCCCGCGUCCCAUUAGCUAGUUGGCGGGGUAACGGCCCACCAAGGCAACGAUGGGUAGCUGGUCUGAGAGGAUGAUCAGCCACACUGGGACUGGAACACGGCCCAGACUCCUACGGGAGGCAGCAGUGGGGAAUAUUGCGCAAUGGGGGAAACCCUGACGCAGCGACGCCGUGUGAGGGAAGAAGGCCUUCGGGUCGUAAACCUCUGUCGGGAGGGAAGAACCACCAUGGACCGAACAUGUUUCUGGUCUGACGGUACCUCUAGAGGAAGCGCCGGCUAACUCCGUGCCAGCAGCCGCGGUA